GACGAACGCUGGCGGCGUGCCUAAUACAUGCAAGUAGGACGCAGUUGCGAACGGGUGAGUAACGCGUAGGUAACUACCUAUUAGAGGGGGAUAACUAUUGGAAACGAUAGCUAAUACCGCAUACUAGUAGAUGGACCUGCGUUGUAUUAGGUAGUAGGUAGGGUAAUGGCCUAACUAGGCAACGAUACAUAGCCGACCUGGAGAGGUGGUCGGGCAAAAUGGGACUGGGGCACGGGCCAGGCUCCUACGGGGGGGAGCAGUAGGGGAUCUUCGGCAAUGGGGGGAAACCUGACCGAGCAACGCCGCGGGAGUGAAAAAGGUUUUCGGAUCGGAAAGGUCUGUUGUUAAGGAAGCGGUACUUAACCAAGAAGGGACGGCUAACUACGUGCCAGCAGCCGCGGUAAUAC
rnacentral:rRNA from 1 species